rnacentral:tRNA from 1 species
GCGGGCGUAGCUCAGUGGUAGAGCAUCUGCUUCCCAAGCAGAGGGUCGCGGGUUCGAAUCCCGUCGCCCGCUCCA